AACGAACGCUGGCGGCAGGCCUAAAACAUGCAAGUCGAACGGGUGUAGCAAUACAUCAGUGGCGCACGGGUGAGUAACGCGUGGGAACGUGCCCCUUAGUACGGGACAACGUCGGGAAACUGACGCUAAUACCGUAUAAUAUCUCCGGAUCAAAGAUUUAUCGCUGAGGGAGCGGCCCGCGUCUGAUUAGCUAGUUGGUGAGGUAAUGGCUUACCAAGGCUACGAUCAGUAGCAGGUCUGAGAGGAUGAUCUGCCACACUGGGACUGAGACACGGCCCAGACUCCUACGGGAGGCAGCAGUUAGGAAUAUUGGACAAUGGGCGAAAGCCUGAUCCAGCCAUGCCGCGUGUGUGAUGAAGGCCCUAGGGUUGUAAAGCACUUUCGUUGGGGAUGAUAAUGACCGUACCCAAAGAAGAAGCACCGGCUAACUUCGUGCCAGCAGCCGCGG
rnacentral:rRNA from 1 species